AGAGUUUGAUCCUGGCUCAGAUUGAACGCUGGCGGCAGGCUUAACACAUGCAAGUCGAACGGUAACAGGAGAAAGCUUGCUUUCUUGCUGACGAGUGGCGGACGGGUGAGUAAUGCUUGGGAAUCUGGCUUAUGGAGGGGGAUAACGACGGGAAACUGUCGCUAAUACCGCGUAGAGUCGGGAGACGAAAGUGCGGGACCGCAAGGCCGCAUGCCAUGAGAUGAGCCCAAGUGGGAUUAGGUAGUUGGUGGGGUAAAGGCCUACCAAGCCUACGAUCUCUAGCUGGUCUGAAAGGAUGACCAGCCACACCGGGACUGAGACACGGCCCGGACUCCUACGGGAGGCAGCAGUGGGGAAUAUUGCGCAAUGGGGGCAACCCUGACGCAGCCACGCCGCGCGAAUGAAGAAGGCCUUCGGGUUGUAAAGUUCUUUCGGUGACGAGGAAGGCGUGAUGUUUAAUAGGCAUCACGAUUGACGUUAAUCACAGAAGAAGCACCGGCUAACUCCGUGCCAGCAGCCGCGGUAAUACAGAGGGUGCGAGCGUUAAUCGGAGUAACUGGGCGUAAAGGGCACGCAGGCGGCUAUUUAAGUGAGGUGUGAAAUCCCCGGGCUUAACCUGAGAAUUGCAUUUCAGACUGGGUAGCUAGAGUACUUUAGGGAGGGGUAGAAUUCCACGUGUAGCGGUGAAAUGCGUAUAGAUGUGGAGGAAUACCGAAAGCUAAUGCAGCCUCUUGCGAAUGUACUGACGCUCAUGUGCGAAAGCGUGGGGAGCAAACAGGAUUAGAUACCCUGGUACUCCACGCUGUAUACGCUGUCGAUUCGGGGAUUGGGCUUUAAGCUUGGUGCCCGUAGCUAACGUGAUAAAUCGUCCGACUGGGGGUGUACGGCUGCGACGGUGAGGACUUCAAAUGAAUUGAUAUGAGGCCCGCUCCAGCCGUCGUAUACAUGUGAUUAUAUUUCGAUGAAACGCUGGAAGAACCAUAACUUACUCCUGACAUUCAUGCAGAUACUUGAGAAAUACUUAUGGUCUUUCUGCACCACUAAACAGAUAGUGCAUGACUAUCGUCUCCUCCUGUUGUGAAAUGAAUG
rnacentral:rRNA from 1 species